rfam:Aedes albopictus isolate Foshan contig5210, whole genome shotgun sequence.
CUUUCUGUGGCUUAGUUGGUUAAAGCGCCGGUCUAGCGGAUACGGAGUCGUGGGUUCGAAUCCCACCAGAACGA